rnacentral:rRNA from 1 species
AAGAUGUAACGGGGCUAAGCCAGUCACCGAAGCUGCGGAUGCACGUAAGUGCAUGGUAGGAGAGCGUUCUGUAAGCCUGUGAAGGUGUCUUGUGAAGGAUGCUGGAGGUAUCAGAAGUGCGAAUGCUGACAUGAGUAGCGAUAAAGGGGGUGAAAGGCCCCCUCGCCGUAAGCCCAAGGUUUCCUACGCAACGUUCAUCGGCGUAGGGUGAGUCGGCCCCUAAGGCGAGGCAGAGAUGCGUAGCUGAUGGGAAGCAGGUUAAUAUUCCUGCACCGUCGUAUGAUGCGAUGGGGGGACGGAUCGCGGAAGGUUGUCCGGGUGUUGGAUG